AAAAAAAAAAAAAAAAAAAAAAAUGAAAAAAAAAAAAAAACAACCAACAAUAAUAAUAUUAUUAUAGUACACGCGAUCCCGGUUUUUGCGGACUUAAACGCAAGAUGAACUGUACUACACUACAGCGGAGCGCACAAUUUUAUAGCGGUGCGUGCACGCAUAAUCUCGAACAAUCAUAAUGUUAUGAUAAGAUCGUAUUCGGAGGGGCGCGCGGGAAGAAGACGAUUACCGUAAGUCCGGUUGUGGCUGUUGUAUUUUUUUACCGUCGACAGUAAACCGAAUGAAACGUCUUUUUCGGCGAACAGAACGCGUGUUAAACGCGUACCGUAAUCUCGAAAAUGAAAAAUAAAAAAAAAAACGGUCUCCGUCCUUCUUUCUCCGAGCACUUCGUGAAAGGAAAAAAAAAAUGAUAUGCUAUGCACUACUAUAUUAUUAUAAUAUCGGACGAAUACCAUCGCGGUACUCGAUUGCGAGAAAUUCGAAUCGCGUGUACUGCAGUAUAGUAGGUAUCGUAAUAUUUUGUUAUCAUGCGGUUUUCGGUUUCGAAACGGCGCGAAAAACGCGUGUAAAGUUCUACGGUAGGAGUGGGGUGGGCCGGGAGGGGACAAUAAUAGAUAUCGAUUCGAAAAAAAAAAAAAAAGAACAAUAAUAAUAACGUGGCGAUAAACUUUUUCGAAUAUUGUUCGUCUCUUUCGGGCCCCGUUCGACCGUAAUUAUUAUUCGGGAGAGGCUACGAUCAUUUUUUUUUUUUUUUUGGUAUUGUGAUUUCGGUCUCUGGUACCCUUAUUAUUAUUAUUAUUAUUAUACCUACGAUCUCAGCAUGUGUCUGAAAGGCUCGGCCGAAUACCGCACGCAUUUUACAAUAUUAUAUACAGUAUUAAAAAUAUCGGGUGAAAACUUCAAAAGGGUGUUCAAAAUAAUAUAUUAUUAUUGUAUAACAUUGUGUGUAUACGUUAUAGAGGUCGGUUUAAAAAGCGGUGUAAACGGACGAGGACCCCGUAAGCGAUACGAUUUCGCCCGUAAUCGACGUUGUCCGAGAAGUCGAAAAAUAAACGCCUCGCCCACCCUUGCUCUUCUACUACACGAUCAAUGGCGCAUUUACGGGGAGGGGGCUUAGUGUGAUGUGGUUUUGGAACCGUGCGUAUUGCGAAUCCCGAAAAGAACUCGGGAAAACAAAAGCCCAAAACGUCACGCACGUAAAAACGUUGCGCGUUAUUCAGAAACGGCUGCAUAAUUUUGAGGCGGAAAUCCGGAAGAGGAAAAAGAAGAAGAACCAAAAUCAAAAUAUUUCAUGUACCGUUCGAAUCGGUUCGAUUUUCGAGUUUCGGUCCGAUCGAUCUCGUCGAUUUUCAGUUCGCGGGUAUACCACGUCGCGAUUUCGAACAAUCCCGAGUACGCCACUUGCAGAUUUCGACGAGAGUCGGUCGGUUAUAAUAUUAUUAAAAUCAGCGGAUCUAAAUAACAAAAAAAAAAAAUUAAAAACCGCCGCACCCGAACCUUUGCGCGUAUAUUUUUCAAAAAAAUCAAUUCUCUCGGCACGACUUUCAUAUGCAUUUCCGGCCUCGGACAUACGUACCUAAUGAUUAUGGAUACACUGCAGGUAUACUCCCGCGUAAAGCUCAUUCCCUCGACGCGCCUGUACGACUGCGGUGUGUUAUUAUUUUUGUUGGCGUUUUUUUUUUUUUUUUUUUUUUUUCUUAAACAAGCGAAUACUUUAUAGGUAAAAUCGUCCGUUUCGGCGGCGGCGGGGUCCUUGUCGGGGUUUCGCAACGCCCGGGCCAUUAUAUCGAACGGCUACGCCGCGCUGCUGUUUGUCCGGGUGACGCGAACCGACAAUUUGUUUUCCCUGACCUAUAUAUGUAUAAUACACAAAUGUUUUUUAUUUUAUUAUUUUUUUUUUUUUUUUUUUUUUUUUUUUAUUAGAUUAUAUUAUAUUAUUAUUAUUAUAUAAUUUAACGGAUAUUUUUAAAAAGCACUUUCAGAUUGUGGUUCGCACUGUUAUUAUCUAUAUUAUAUAAUAUAAUAUUACAAUAUUAUUAUAUUAUAUAAUUCGACUUCCUUAUUAUAUAGUAUAUUAUGAUAAAUAAUACGUAUAUAUAAUAAUAAUAUAAUAUAUUUAUUGUACGCGAUAUAUUAUGUAUUUGUAUUUAAUAUUAAUAAUGAAAUGUAAAACGGUAGUGCGUUAAAAAAUAAAAUAUAAAAUAAAUAAUUAUUAUGAAAAAAAAAAAAAAAAAUGUAAAAUAUAUAUAUAUAUAUAUAUAUA
rnacentral:lncRNA from 1 species